rnacentral:rRNA from 1 species
GAUGAACGCUGGCGGCGUGCCUAAUACAUGCAAGUCGAGCGAACAGACGAGGAGCUUGCUCCUCUGACGUUAGCGGCGGACGGGUGAGUAACACGUGGAUAACCUACCUAUAAGACUGGGAUAACUUCGGGAAACCGGAGCUAAUACCGGAUAACAUGUUGAACCGCAUGGUUCAACAGUGAAAGACGGUCUUGCUGUCACUUAUAGAUGGAUCCGCGCCGCAUUAGCUAGUUGGUAAGGUAACGGCUUACCAAGGCAACGAUGCGUAGCCGACCUGAGAGGGUGAUCGGCCACACUGGAACUGAGACACGGUCCAGACUCCUACGGGAGGCAGCAGUAGGGAAUCUUCCGCAAUGGGCGAAAGCCUGACGGAGCAACGCCGCGUGAGUGAAGAAGGUCUUCGGAUCGUAAAACUCUGUUAUUAGGGAAGAACAAAUGUGUAAGUAACUAUGCACGUCUUGACGGUACCUAAUCAGAAAGCCACGGGUAACUACGUG